CUCAAGCUCUUUAAACCUGAAUAAAUCUCAUCAACAACAUCAGUGCAAUUCUUACACAAUGACUAUAGUGGCUGGCUUAUAAGAUAAGACCCUUGGUUUGUGCACGGGCGCUUUCCCUGAUAAUGCCUCCCUUUUCUUAUGUUUAAUGGCAGGAAAUGAAGCAGGUCUGUAGCAGAGAGGAUUCAAAGGAAAGAUGGAAAAUGUGUCAUUUUCUGGAUUCUUUUAUAUUUAUUUUAAAGUAACCGGCCACAUCAGAGAGGGGUUGAUGACACCGAAAGAAAAACGAGACAAACCAGUGUGGACACCGUGCGGCUGCUUCGACUGCUGUUACUGCUGCGACUGCUGCUCCUAGAGUCAGACAAACUAGAUACGCUGG